ensembl:snRNA RNU6-1135P RNA, U6 small nuclear 1135, pseudogene
GUGCUCAUUUUGGCAUCACAUAUAUUAAAAUUGAAUGAUACAGAGACUAGCAUGGAACCUGCACAAAGAUGACAUGCAAACUCAUGAAGCAUUCCACAUUUUU